GAGGCUCAGGCAUGUCACCCGGCCAGAGCACCAAGAUCCUUCCUGUGCUCCUUUCUGCACCAGGAGAAAAGUGUGCCCCUGUGCCGAUGCUCUUCCACCUGGUUCUUCUCUUUCACAUCGCUUUCUGGAGGUGGGCAGGUGGUUUAGAGUGGGUGAGCGGCUCUACUCUAUGAAGUCAUCCUGGGGCUCUGAUGCCUUCUGCCUCGUUCUCACUUCUGUUUUUAUGUUUUCGUUUUUUAGCCACGAGGCGUGUGGGAUCUUAGCUCCCCGACCAGGGAUUGCAACUGCACCCCCUGCAUUGGAAGGCGAAGUCUUAACCACUGGACUGCUAGGGAAGUCCCACCACACUUCACUUUUUGCUCAUGAAUUAUCCAGGAGAUUUAAGUGAUGAAGGGAAGUCUAGCAGUUGAGUUGAAGCCCUCCUUCUCUUGAGAUUCAUUCACCAUGUACAGUGUCACAGAACUCCAUGGAAGGACUGAAGAGGUCAUUUUGUCCAGUCCCCUGACUUCAAAUAGAUGAGAAAGAGGCCUCUGGUGCAGGAAGAACAGUGACUAGAGAAUAGAGAGCGAGAGAGAGGCUGGAGGUCAUCCAGGAGUGACACGAUGGCCAGAACCGCACUGGGGUCAGAAUGGCUUUGAGAGGAUGGACCUGGGACGUGUAAAGAGGAUAAGGUUAACGGGAUUUAGCAGUGUGGUGAACGAAGGAGAGAGAGUAAAGGUUUGUGCUGCUACAGCUGGGCUGGAGGUGGUGGGCCGGGGAACUCUCCUUGCAAGGGCUUUGCCUCGUUCUGUGCAGUAUCUGGUUAGAGCAUCUAGAGUCUUCCCCUUCUUCUACCUCUGGAUUCUCUUACUUCUUUCUCUCUUCUCUUCCUACAAGAUCCCCUUCCAUUAUCCUUCUCUCCUUCUCUUCAUGUGGUCAUGAACCCCUGUCCUCAUCUGGUCACAGCCCUGCUGCUUCUCGACACAUCUAUCUGUAUCACCACUGCGUAUUUCUUCACAUCUAUGGUCACCUCUUUUCUGGCUGUUCAGGGGAAAUAAGACCCUCAUGUACUUCUGGAUGGAGGAGUGAAGUAGGCAGAAAAAAACCAACAGCCCCGAGGCCACAA